GACGAACGCUGGCGGCGUGCUUAACACAUGCAAGUCGAACGGAAAGGCCCUGCUUUUGUGGGGUGCUCGAGUGGCGAACGGGUGAGUAACACGUGAGUAACCUGCCCUUGACUUUGGGAUAACUUCAGGAAACUGGGGCUAAUACCGGAUAGGAGCUCCUGCUGCAUGGUGGGGGUUGGAAAGUUUCGGCGGUUGGGGAUGGACUCGCGGCUUAUCAGCUUGUUGGUGGGGUAGUGGCUUACCAAGGCUUUGACGGGUAGCCGGCCUGGGAGGGUGACCGGCCACAUUGGGACUGAGAUACGGCCCAGACUCCUACGGGAGGCAGCAGUGGGGAAUAUUGCACAAUGGGCGGAAGCCUGAUGCAGCAACGCCGCGUGCGGGAUGACGGCCUUCGGGUUGUAAACCGCUUUCGCCUGUGACGAAGCGUGAGUGACGGUAAUGGGUAAAGAAGCACCGGCUAACUACGCG
rnacentral:rRNA from 1 species